AACCUGGCAUAUUUGGGGGUUUAUUUGGAUAGUAUCUAGGUUCCCCCAAACAUCAGUAAGAAUAUAGGUAAUCUGAAGAAUACUAUCAACUAACCUAGUUUAAUUGGCAUUUGUAGAGCUCUCCAUCUCAAAGUAGAAUACACAAAAGUUUCAUUUACCAGUAGGAUAAGUUUUAAUUAGUGUCUCCCAUUUCAAUAUGAAUUUGAAUGGUUUACUUGGCCCAUUUUUAUUAUUGGUUUCAUAUAUAGUCUUUUGCUUAUUGAUUUUUAUGAGAUCAAUUUAUAUCUUUGGUUACACAAAACUGUAAAUUUUCUAAAAAUAUUUGAGUUAGAAAUUUAAAAUUAAUUAAUAUUAUGAUGUGCAAAUUAUGUCUCACACAUGUUUAAAGAAAAGACCUAAAGUAAAUAUCACAAAAUAUUUGCAUUUGUUAACUAUGUUUAAUAGAUCUUAUCCAGUCAUUAGGCCCCACCUCCAACAAAGAAAAUCAUAUUCCAACAUGCAACUUGGAGAAGACAAAGAUCCAAACCAUAUCAGGAACCAUGGAAAGAUGCUAAAGAUUGGAUUUUAAGUGUGUGGAUGUGGAGGUGUGGAUGUGGACAUGUGCUGAUGUGUCCGUGGUGAUGGUAAGUUUAAAUAAUUUAUUACACAAAAUCUAUAACAAUUAAUAAUUGCCUGCUCUGUUUUCUUAUACACUCAAUCUUAAUUUAGAAUGUUGGAGAAUCAGAGAAAAUAAGAAAUAUACAUAUAUAUGUAAUAAAUAUUUAAUAUAUCAGUUUGUUAUUUUAUUUUGAAUUACUCUCU
rnacentral:lncRNA from 1 species